CAGCGCCUCCUACUCCUUCCGCUCACCCCGCCACAUGGUGGCCGGGUGAGGGCCUCGGGGCAGUAU
rnacentral:pre_miRNA from 1 species